rnacentral:rRNA from 1 species
UGCCAGCCGCCGCGGUAAUACGUAGGGGGCAAGCGUUGUCCGGAAUCAUUGGGCGUAAAGAGCUCGUAGGCGGUUCAGUAAGUCGGGUGUGAAAGCUCCGAGCUCAACUCGGAGAGGCCACCCGAUACUGCUGUGACUAGAAUCCAGUAGGGGAGUGUGGAAUUCCUGGUGUAGCGGUGAAAUGCGCAGAUAUCAGGAGGAACACCGGCGGCGAAGGCGGCACUCUGGGCUGGUAUUGACGCUGAGGAGCGAAAGUGUGGGUAGCAAACAGGAUUAGAUA